GUUCUUUACCCUGUAGAGUAUACAAAUUACAGAUUUAAACAGUUCUCUUUAGAUUUGGUCUUCAUCAGUCAUUCUUAUAGUCAUUGGAAACAACCGGUACAAUGUAUCGAUAAAUAAUUGAAACCAUUGCAAAAAACAAGUUAAAUUCAUGCUAUCUACAACAUUCAUAUUCAAAUCUUCAUAACUUAAAUCAUUUAGCAAGAUACACUAACUGAAGUAUACAUGUAUCCAGGCCAAUAAGGAGAUUAUUCUGUUUGGAAAAACAUCUGAAAAAACUGUUCCUACUAACAUAAUUGUUUAUCCGUCUGCAAAGAAGAGAUUCCAGAUAAAUUAAUAUAAUAGUGACUAACAUGGACUACUCAAAAAAGAUGUGUUGUUCGCAUACAAACUAAUCGCUAUCCAGCAAGCUGUCAAUAUUACUCUAUUGAUAAAUAUCUGACAAUUGAUUAUCAAACAAAGUUUGUCGGUUUAAAUGAAAUAAAAGAAAACUUGAUACAAAUAUUAUUGUGACAAUUAAUAUUAUUUUUUUUUACUUUAACUCCUUAUAAGGUGUAAAAGGCUUUUAUUUAUUGACUUUUUAAUGUGUCAACAAACUAAUUAAUUUUAUUAUUAUUUUUACACUAUUUAAAUCAAAUUUCAUCUAUAAAAACAAAAAAAUUGAAAUAGUGACUUCUUGUAUUAUGGAUAUUUACAUUCUUUUAACAAACUGUUUUGUAU